UGGGGAAUAUUGGACAAUGGGCGCAAGCCUGAUCCAGCCAUGCCGCGUGAGUGAUGAAGGCCUUCGGGUUGUAAAGCUCUUUUGGCGGGGACGAUGAUGACGGUACCCGCAGGAUAAGCCCCGGGUAACUUCGUGCCAGCAGCCGCGGUAAGACGAAGGGGGCAAGCGUUGUUCGGAAUUACUGGGCGUAAAGGGCGCGUAGGCGGUCCGAUCAGUAAGGCGUGAAAGCCCUGGGCUUAACCUGGGAGGUGCGCUUGAUACUGUCGGGCUUGAGUGUGGGAGAGGAUGGUGGAAUUCCCAGUGUAGAGGGGAAAUUCGUAGAUAUAGGGAAGAACACCGGUGGCGAAGGCGGCCAUCUGGACCACAACUGACGCUGAGGC
rnacentral:rRNA from 1 species